UUUAGGGAUUCUGUCGGGUAUCGUGUCUAUAGCAUUCAUCUGCGGAACUCUAACUGCUCUCUUCCUCUCCACUGCUUUGACAUUUUAGGUUUCAGCGACAGUGGCGGUGCUUGCAGCCUUGUACAUAAAAGUUUUCCUUAGGGAUUCAAUCGGCGGCAUUGAUGCGGCUUCGCUGCGAACAAUCUCCAAGAAGACAAACAAUGUUGUUCACUUCGAUGAAGAUUCCUCCUCGAAGAUACAGUUUUUUAGUAGAAUCCCUUCAGUAGAGGAGAUUCUUUACCUUUUGAGGAUUAGCACAACCUUUUCACAAGUUACAGUUGUUGCAUUCUUCAACAAUCUUGCUGAGAGCGCGCUUUCUUCUUCGUUAUUG